GUAACUCGAAGUUAGCUCUGAGCAUACUGUGAAUCACGGCGUGCCCCCGGCGUCGUCUGCUGAUAAUGAGUACCAAACUAGUAUAAAGCAGCUUGCCGGCCGACCGCCCGCUCAGUCCUGUCUUGUACACAGACGUGAGCGUGUGUGUGAUUAUCUUACCCUUGGACGUCCUUCCUUUUAUCUUUUAUAAUGGCUGACUCUGACCGCAUUGUGUACCCUGACGAGGUCGCCGAGGCCAAGGCAGACGCUAUUGCUGCAGCAGAAGCUGAAGACAAGACGUCAGGCGGAGACAGCAACACCGUGGACACACCAGCCCCCGGAGGAAUCAUAAUGAGGAAUGCUAUCACAGUUCCUGACAACUGUCCACCUGGCUAUAAGAUGGGAGCUGACGGCGUUUGUCGUGAAGUGUUUUAACUGUUUGCAUGUAAUUCUAAGUUAGCAGCUAAAGAGAGUCGAGCAUAUUUUUAUGUAAAGGCAUAAUGUAAUACGCCAGUAUUUUAUAACAAAAUUCGCAGCAACUGAAUGUGUUACAUUAAAUGAAACUAUUUAAUUUAACACAUUCACAUUAUUGCGCAUGGUAUUGUACGAGUAUUAUUAAAUUUAAAUCGAAUUGGAGAUGUACUUUCUAUUUAUAUUUAAGUUUUGUGGUUAUAUUAAUAUUGUCUGUUUGUGUUGUUAAUGAAAAUAAUGAUAUUUUUUAUUAAAAUACUAACUGCCGUAAUAAGAGACAUUUAAUAAAUACUUAAACUAUUCACACGUUUACUUUUAGGAAAUAUUUUCUUAUCUUAGCAGUUAAUAAGCUUUCCGUGGAAUGCAGGUAGGUACAACCUCAUGACUGACGAACGAGGGUGAUGCAUAUGAUUUGUAGCCAGCAAUGUUAGGAGUCGACUAUCCAGGCUGUUUAAAGUUUAAUCUAAGUCCACUUGAGUAUGCCAAAAGAAUACAUUAGGACCGGCAUGACCCAACCGUUAAAGGCUCUGCCUGAUAAGGAAGUGUUCAGUAACCUAUUGAGGCGGCUAAAGAAGCGCUCCUUAAGCUAUUCAAAUGAAUAGCUUCAAGUCCGAUCCAUUAAUGGCUAUUAAUAUUAUUAUUCUUCUUAUCUAUUUUUAAUACUAUAAUUAUCGUACUGGGUGGCGGUCCGUGGAAAAGAUCUGGAGCUGUCUACCACUGUGUGCAUCGAAAUGCUGCCAACUACAGUACCCAGGUCACCUAGCGCAGGCCUCUGCGCAGCGUAUCCUGGUUGCCAGCAUCGGGUGUGAAGAGGCUGUGCUAGUACCUAUGACAGUACAGUAGAUAUAUAGUAUGACUAGUACUAGAGACAGAAAUAGGAGGAUGUUGAAGAGAUCGAGAGAUGGCCGAUCCUGCUAGUAUAGGGUGCCAAGGUGCCUUAGAGCUUAAUACGCCGAUAUUUAGCCUUCAUUAUCUGCAGGCAGACUUUUGGGACCACUGGCGUCUAGAGUGGGGACUUUAAGCGCCUAUCCAGUGACCUGCCGUGCAAAGGCGUGACAGGCGUUAUUCAUAAUAAGUUUCUAUUUGCAUGUUACUUUUCCAAGAAAUUUUAGUUCUUUAGGGUUUCUUAGCCUAAUGGCAAAAAACGGAAGCCUUAUAGAUUUGUCAUGUGCGUCUGUCUGUCCGUCCAUACCUAUGUCACAGCCAUUUAUUUCCGAAACUGUCAGGCCUACAUAGUUGACACUUUGUAGGUUGAUGUAUUCUGGUAACCGCUAUUUGAAUAUUGAAUAAAAAUUAAUAAAUUCAAAAAUUAAAGUGGCUACAUACAUUGAUUAAAAAAUCUUUUCCGCUUACCUAUUCGUGAUGGGUGGCUAUAGAUAGGGCUUUAAAAAAUACAUUGAGGUUUCUAAAACCAUUUUUCAUUAACAUCAAGUUUUUGAAAGAUAAGUGUCCAAAAUGUUAGAAAAACUUUAAAAUAAGAGAGUGAAAAACUAAAAAAAAAUUAGCCUGUAGAUUUCAAUGGAAACUUUCAACGAAAUAUGGUUUGAACGAGAUAUCAUUAUUAGUUUUUAAGUUUAAUAGUUUUUAAACUUAAUCGUUCAUACAAACACUAUGUAAAACAAGGUUUCUUUUUUAUAAACCAUCGAUCAAAGUUUACAACGCACUACAAUAACCUUUAUAUUAUGUCAUCUACUUGCUGCUACGAAUCCCUUCAUGAGGGAGUCCGACUCGCACUUGACCGGUUUUUUAGGUAAACUGAUUUAUGAAAGCCAUAAUUUAACCAGAGCUGGCCUGAAGACGAUUGUCGGUAUUUUUAUAGACAAUAGGGACAAUUCUAAGAGCUGGCCCUGUUUCAACGAAAUUCUUAUGUCAUUUAGAGUUUCUGUAGUAGCACCUUUUUUCGAAAUUUUGACGGCCUCUUUUUACUGACUUCAUAAAUAAAAAAGUAAAUAAAAUACCAAAAAAAAAUGUUAUUUUUAUCAUUGAAUUGAAAAUAAUUAUAAGAUUCUUAUGUGCUACUCAUCCACGAAUAGAACUGAUGUAAAACAUAUUCGAAAAGAUUUUAUAUUUCUGUAAAUUACUUACCUAUAAUCUAGCCCCCGUACGGCUGACACACCGGCAGCGGCAGCUACGUUCCAUGGAUUGGAUAUGGAAGUGUGGAUAAUAUGGAUCUCUGGUCACUAGGCGUCUAGUUUUAGUCAAUGUAGAAGGUUUUUUGAAUAUCGAAUACAGCUGAGCAUUGACCACAUCGAGUAGGUUACAAAAUUGUUCUUCAGUCUUCCCGACAUCGUUGACGACUGUCGCAAAGGAACAAAACUGCCAGUCGACGGCGUCUGUCUUGAAGUCUAGAUUCAGGCACUGCUGUGGUGUCUCGAACAGAACUCUCCAAUAAAUUUAAUGUAAUUUUAUUUGGUUUUAAUUUGAAUAAAGUGAGUUUCAAAUAAA